UCGCUGUAGAUUUAGCAGUACAUUACUGUAAAAAUCCACAGUACUAUACUGUAUGUGUACAUUACAGUACAGUACUGCAGUUCAUAAUGCAUUCUGGGUAAAUUUGUUUGAGCGGGAAAAUUUUACAGUAUAUUUUGGUCUUGAUGUAACCUUGCUGUAGCCAUUGCUGUAAUGUGCCAGGUGUACUUGCAAUAAUCAGAGAAAGUGCGCCAGAGUCAAAUCACACAGAGGGAGAGAGAGCACAACUCCUGGCUGCAGCUGAAGGAGGACGAUUGAUUUCUGGCAGUUCGUCUUACCAUUGCUUGUAAGCUGGAUUGGGUAAGAUGGAUCAUCUUUAAAGGCACCAGGAGUUAAGGCAGAUGUGGAGGCACAACGGGUGAUACCAGACACACACCAAGCACAUUAUGUUCGGACAUUCAAUCAUGACAUGAUCCAUGUGGAUGCUGUCCAUUGAGGAAAGAGUUUGUUCCGAGGUUUCUGGAUAGAAUUAAUUCCAAAGAUGGGAAGAAGUGCACAUCCAGACAAGGAGCAAGCAAAAAGACAAGGAACUUGGUGCAGAGAAAAGCUGUGGCCAUUAACCCCUGUGAACAGCUUCAUGCAGUCGCUGAUUGAGUUCGAAUGGACGACUUCAAAGUAAAGGCCACUGUGGUCUGUCUGCCACAGUUUAAUUUUAAAUUUAUUUUUAGUGUUCAAUGAAAUUCAAGUAGAAUAUUUAAAACUAUGGGCCAGUGUUCUUUUUACCACAGUGAAAUGUUACCUUUUAGUCGAUGAUGGACUUUAAACUGAAAACUUCAAACUAUGGACCAGUGUUCUAUUUGCCAGAGUUAAAUAUGUUACAGCAGGGGUCU